GACGAACGCUGGCGGCGUGCCUAAUACAUGCAAGUCGAGCGAGCUUGCCUAGAUGAAUUUGGUGCUUGCACCAAAUGAAACUAGAUACAAGCGAGCGGCGGACGGGUGAGUAACACGUGGGUAACCUGCCCAAGAGACUGGGAUAACACCUGGAAACAGAUGCUAAUACCGGAUAACAACACUAGACGCAUGUCUAGAGUUUAAAAGAUGGUUCUGCUAUCACUCUUGGAUGGACCUGCGGUGCAUUAGCUAGUUGGUAAGGUAACGGCUUACCAAGGCAAUGAUGCAUAGCCGAGUUGAGAGACUGAUCGGCCACAUUGGGACUGAGACACGGCCCAAACUCCUACGGGAGGCAGCAGUAGGGAAUCUUCCACAAUGGACGCAAGUCUGAUGGAGCAACGCCGCGUGAGUGAAGAAGGGUUUCGGCUCGUAAAGCUCUGUUGGUAGUGAAGAAAGAUAGAGGUAGUAACUGGCCUUUAUUUGACGGUAAUUACUUAGAAAGUCACGGCUAACUACGUGCCAGCAGCCGCGGUAAUACGUAGGUGGCAAGCGUUGUCCGGAUUUAUUGGGCGUAAAGCGAGUGCAGGCGGUUCAAUAAGUCUGAUGUGAAAGCCUUCGGCUCAACCGGAGAAUUGCAUCAGAAACUGUUGAACUUGAGUGCAGAAGAGGAGAGUGGAACUCCAUGUGUAGCGGUGGAAUGCAUAGAUAUAUGGAAGAACACCAGUGGCGAAGGCGGCUCUCUGGUCUGCAACUGACGCUGAGGCUCGAAAGCAUGGGUAGCGAACAGG
rnacentral:rRNA from 1 species